rnacentral:lncRNA from 1 species
GCGAAGUCGUUCACCUGUGGGUGAAAACAAGCGGCCUAUCUUGCCAAAUACGGCAUUGCAUCUUUCAUAAAAAGAGAGCUGUCAUGCAGCUUAAACGAUAAACAGUACUUCCUCAUGUUCGACGUGAGCAGGGCCGUAGCACCAAAUCCUGGGCCCCUAUACUAUAGGUACUGAUGGGGCCCCCCUGCGCCAGGUUGUUGACGGGGGGGGGGGGGGGGGGGGGGGUCCGGAGCGAUUGUUGACGGGGGGGGGGGGGUCCGUAGCCAUUGUUGACGGGGGGGGGGGGUGGGGGGGUCCGGAGCCAUUGUUGACAGGGGGCUCCGGACCCCGGAGCCCCCCGGGGGGGCCCAUGACGAAAAACAAUUUUUUUUUUUUUUUUUUCGUCAUGGGCCCCCCCUCUGCCUUGGGCCCCCCCACAACUGUCCCCUUUGUCCCCGCAGUCCGACGGCCCUGGACGUGAGUAUGAACAAAACCACUAAAAGCAAACAGAUGGAUAUCCAUGUGAGGUACUGGACCAAGGACGACACAGACAGCCAUGUCAUAUUGUGGUACUAUGGAUCACAGUUCAUGCUGGAUCAUUUUAAUGCACCGAUUCAUGGGGAAAGGAAAGGAUGGAAGCACAGGCUUCAAAGUUCCAGAUAAAAAACAGCUGGAUACCUAUCUCUCCACUGUGAGAGACUUUGGCAACAACAUCUUCAAAGUUGGAAGCGCUUCAGAUACCAGUCAAAGUUACACCGUGGACAUGAGUCUUGGAGUGUGUAGCUGCCAGACUGGUAAAGAUGGGACCCCAUGCAAACACCAGUUUUCAACCAUUCGUCGCCAGAUCGUCAGCUACACUUACCUAGUUAAGUUAUCCUCCGACCUUUCUAGCCUUUUCCUAGUUAUUCUCAUUGUUCUCGUUCACCACUCGACUCUCCUCUCCUGCAGGAAUACCAGUUCCUCCGAACCGUCGAGGGUGACUAUCUGUUCCGGCAAUCCACCCGACCCACCAUCUCCGGAUCGCCACAGACCUUCUCCUCUGCUCUGUGUAGCAAUAAACUGG